rnacentral:rRNA from 1 species
GAUGAACGCUGGCGGCGUGCCUAAUACAUGCAAGUCGAGCGAACAGACGAGGAGCUUGCUCCUCUGACGUUAGCGGCGGACGGGUGAGUAACACGUGGAUAACCUACCUAUAAGACUGGGAUAACUUCGGGAAACCGGAGCUAAUACCGGAUAAUAUAUUGAACCGCAUGGUUCAAUAGUGAAAGACGGUUUUGCUGUCACUUAUAGAUGGAUCCGCGCCGCAUUAGCUAGUUGGUAAGGUAACGGCUUACCAAGGCAACGAUGCGUAGCCGAUCUGAGAGGGUGAUCGGCCACACUGGAACUGAGACACGGUCCAGACUCCUACGGGAGGCAGCAGUAGGGAAUCUUCCGCAAUGGGCGAAAGCCUGACGGAGCAACGCCGCGUGAGUGAUGAAGGUCUUCGGAUCGUAAAACUCUGUUAUUAGGGAAGAACAAAUGUGUAAGUAACUAUGCACGUCUUGACGGUACCUAAUCAGAAAGCCACGGCUAACUAC